rnacentral:rRNA from 1 species
GACGAACGCUGGCGGCGUGCUUAACACAUGCAAGUCGAACGGAAAGGCCCUGCUUUUGUGGGGUGCUCGAGUGGCGAACGGGUGAGUAACACGUGAGUAACCUGCCCUUGACUUUGGGAUAACUUCAGGAAACUGGGGCUAAUACCGGAUAGGAGCUCCUGCUGCAUGGUGGGGGUUGGAAAGUUUCGGCGGUUGGGGAUGGACUCGCGGCUUAUCAGCUUGUUGGUGGGGUAGUGGCUUACCAAGGCUUUGACGGGUAGCCGGCCUGAGAGGGUGACCGGCCACAUUGGGACUGAGAGACGGCCCAGACUCCUACGGGAGGCAGCAGUGGGGAAUAUUGCACAAUGGGCGGAAGCCUGAUGCAGCAACGCCGCGUGCGGGAUGACGGCCUUCGAGUUGUAAACCGCUUUCGCCUGUGACGAAGCGUGAGUGACGGUAAUGGGUAAAGAAGCACCGGCUAACUACGUG